CUCUUCCCUCCCUUUCCUCUCCCCACCCCCAUUUGGUAAACUGUUCUCUGUUGCAUUUACUGCUUUCUCAAUCAACUUCCCCUAUAAUUGUUCUUCAGAUAAAUGCAAAAGCAACUUCACUGUUCCAACCAUGUUAAAUGUCUGUUAAUUGAAUUUUCAUUCCUAUUUCUUAACAGACAGAUUUUCUACCAAGUACAUCAAUUUCCUCAGUAUACUGGUAACCACCUAUCUACAAGGGAUGUUCCAAAAGUAUGGCCUCCUAUUUUAUUAUGUUGGCUUACGAUUUCAGAGGUGGAUGUUGGUGAUGUGACAGUAGAAGUUGAACAUUCUCACCAAUGUUGUUGCCAUGCAACAGAUGGCAGUGGAGGGGCAGUGUGACACAAUGGCAUCUGACGUGGAAGUGCACAGAAAGCAAAGGUGUGUCGCUGAAUUCCUCCAUGUGGAAAAAUUUGCACCCAUUGAUAUUCAUCAACUUUUGCUGAAUGUUUAUGAGGACCAGACAGUGGAUGUGAGCACAGUGAGUGGUAGGUGGUGCAUUUCAGCAGUGGAGACAGUGAUUUGAAAGGCAAGACACAUUCCAGACAGCCAUGCAGAUUUUUACAGGCAUGGCAUGCAGGCUCUUGCUUAUUGCUGGUGAAAACGAAUAGCUAAUGGAGAUGACUGUGCUGAAAAAAAAAAUGCAUUUUGUAGCUGAGAAUUUACUUCAUCAAAUAGCAUUGCUGCACUUUUUGUAGCUGCUGUUGUUCCCAUGGAAAUAAAGAGGAGGCAUUACUUUCAGAGCAACCUACAUACUUGUCCUUAUAUAACUGGUGAAGGAAACUCAUUUUGCUUUAACUGUCCCCUUUUUUUUCCUUUCUGAAAUCAUUAGCUGCCAAAGCACCCUGUCUACCUGUGUCCCCUCACAUCCCAGCUACUGUUCAGGAGUUUGGGUUAUUUGAUUUAAUUAUUCAAAAUCCUGAAUCUAAAAAAAAAAAAAAAAGUGUAGUUUCUUUGACAUUUUUUAAUUACUUGCCUUAGUUUUAAGGUGGACAGGAAAAUACAAAGUAUUUUUGUAUUUUUGUUUUUUUUCCUCCUUUUAUCUUGUUGGUAUCAUUUCUUCUGGAAUUUUUCCUGAAAUGUGAGCAGAUUUUUCCAGUAAAGCAAAGCAGAUGUUUUGCAAUGGUUUUCACAGCAAUAAGCCCCUGACAAGCUGUAGUACACGUGCCCUGUACUGCAAACAUUGCUUGAAUACUUUUACUUACAACUAGUCUCAGUAAAAUUGACAGGAAUAUUUCCCCCUUACCUACUUGCUCUGUGGGAGAAAAUACUCUUUUCUUUACAUUUCCACUCCUUUCAGCAAACAGAUAACAAAGAAGCUACAGACACAUAUACUAUCUGGUGAGAGCUGAGGCCAAGCAUGAACCUAUCCUGAAUUUAUCUCAAGUGCACUUCAGAUGCAGCGCAUGAUUGGAUCCCACCUGGUGUACUUGAAGAGCAGUCAUCCUUGAAAGAUAAACUCCUGACUUUUUUUCUUCCUUCUGAAAGCACGGAAAUGUUCAGUUCUGUUCUGCUCCUUUUUCUUGCCACUGAAGCAGUGUUUGUUGCCUCUAUAAAAUGGAACCAAACAAGAUGAUUAAAUGAUUCAUCAAAAAGAAAAACAGUAGUAGAUGGUCGCUGAUGAUUCU
ensembl:lncRNA